ensembl:lncRNA novel transcript
UCCGAGCUCGAGGGUGGCCUGGCGGCCAUCAGCGCCUGCGACGGCCUGAAAGGUGUGUUCCUGCUCUCCAACAAGGACUACUUCAUUCAGCCCCUGGACGGUGCCCCAGCCUGGCCCAGCCAUGCCCAGCCCCAUGUGGUGUACAAGCAUCCGGCCCCGGAGAGGCUGGCACAGCGGGGUGAUUCCAGUGCUCCAAGUACCUGUGGGGUGCAAGGUGGCUGGCCUGUUUCACGACCCCAGCAUUGGGAACCCCAUCCACAUGACCAUUGUGCUCCUGGUCCUUCUGGAAGAUGAGGAGGAGGACCUAAAGAUCAUGCACCAUGCAGACAACACCCUGAAGAGCUUCUGCAAGUGGCAGAAAAGCAUCAACAUGAAGGGAGACGCCCACCCCCUGCAGCAUGACACUGC